rnacentral:rRNA from 1 species
GCUCUUUAACAAUUUAUCAGACAAUCUGUGUGGGCACUCGAAGAUACGGAUUCUUAACGUCGCAAGACGAAAAAUGAAUACCAAGUCUCAAGAGUGAACACGUAAUUCAUUACGAAGUUUAAUUCUUUGAG